AUGAUUUCUGUCUCUGUCCAGCAAUGACAAUCUGUCCACCUCCACAGUGAAAUUCUGUAUAUUUUUAACAACUUUGCAGCUGCUGCAAUCUCUUGGUUGUUGUUUAAAUUUGCUGAUAAAGCUAUUUGAGGAGGAGGGACAGUGGUAGACUCCUGAGGAGUCUGAAGAGAAAGGCACAGGCCUCUCCCUCCUUUCACCCAUGCACUCAAUGACUUGGAUUUCUUUGUAACUUAAGCCGGUGGGACACAACCAUGUGUCUUGGUCUUGGGGCUCACACUGGUUGCUUUUUUUUUUUUUUUUUUUUUUUUUUUAAACCCUCUCUGCCCAAGAAAAUUCUGAAUUGGUUUACUAAACUGUCCUGACUCUUGUGCUGAAGUCUGAGUUUGUAAGCCCACAUCUUUGAAAAGGGUUGUCAGACUGGAUGAUCAAGAUGGGCCCUUCGAGUCCUGAAGCCUAUGGAGCUCUGAUCUAAAAUGACAUGAUCACACACCACUUUCCCCUCAGCGAUGCUGACUUCAGUGCACCAGGUAGAUCUGUACUGUGGCUGAAUUAGUUUGCUCUCUUUUGGAUAACUGUUCCAUUUGUUGGAGAAUUUGAGUUAUAUAUAGAGUGGGAAUGUUAAGCACUCCUUCCCCACCCUGUCCCCUCCCCCCCAAAAAAAGAAAAAAAGAAUCACUCUGGAGAAUUGUGUUCUAUCCUUGACUCUGCUACAUACUUUUUGCUUAAAAUAAAUUUGGGUGUCCACAUGUGAUUAUUCAUUUCUGAAGAUGUAAGUAGUUUAAAAAUUCAUUUAAAAGCAAAAAUAUGUGUUUUGUACACAAAUGAUGGCACAUAUUGAUAAAUUCUUUGUACAUUUUUAAAAGACUCUUUAUCCAAAUUUGCACAGAAUUUUGAAUUCAUGCAUCUGGGGAUAAGAGUACCAGCUCACUACAGUGGUACAAAGAUUGGUAAAGAGCUACAAAAACCAUACAAAUAAAAGAACUACACAAGAAAGUAAGUAAUUGUGUUUUCAGAACAGAGACCAACUGAUGUGCAGUAAAUAAGACAGUACUACACAUUCUUUCAUGAAGACAAAGCAAAAUAGGAAAUAGCUGUUCAUAACUCAACUGCAUUAGAUGAAAAAUCCUCCUAUAGAAAGUAAAUUAAGUAUAUAAGAACAGUUAAAAGCAUAUGAAAAUGGUCUUAUUGAUUUCCAUAUCUAUUCUAUUAAUGUACAAAUCCAGAUAAUGUCUUGUUUUCAGCUCAUUUAAAAUGUUACCUGAGUGCAGAUGAAUUAUAGCAGAUGGACAUCUCCACUGAUCAUUCAAAUGCCAGAGAGCUCUCUACACUCUGCUUUAAAAUCCAUACUAGCUAAUUAUAACCAGAAUAAAUCAAAAAGAAUGUCUACUGCACAAAGUAACUUGAAGCACUUUAGUAUCAAGAUGAUUUUUUUGUCUGAAAAUCAUCUCUCUUGAUUUAUCAUCUGAAGAAUGCUUAUCAAAAGGCCUGUUAGAAAACAUACCUAUAAUUUUAGUUAUAGAGCUUCUCUCUCACUCUGAGCAUUUCCCUUGAUAGCUGAACAGUGUUUUUGAAACACUGUAGUGUUAUGUCAGACCCCUUGCCUCACAUAAAUAUGAAGCAAUCCAAAGGAAAUGACUGCGGUCAUAUAGCACAUGGUCCCACAUUGAGAUCCUGAAUCAGACAUAUUACUUUUAAUACUUUUGAAUCAGAUAUGUUACAAAUAAAUAAGUGGGAAAACUACAUCCUGUAGAAUAAACUCUUAAAAUGGAAGAGUUGGGGAUACCUGCGGGGUAGUUUAGCCUUUUAGACUUUUAAACCUGCUUUGUAGAGAGAAUCUCUUUUGACUAUAAAUUCAGGUCAUGGUGUUAUCAAAGGUGGUAGAAGACUAGACAGAAGCAUCCUGUAAUCUCUUCAGAAAAUAUUUGAAAAAGGCUUACAUAUACCCCCAGCAGAAAUAUAUUUUCCUGUCCCUCUAUCAGAUUUAUGUAUUCUAGAACAAACAUUAAAGGAUUGUUCUUUGGGGACGACAGUCACUUGUAUCAGUGGCUUAACAGUCAUUGUAAUAAAGGAAUAAAAUGUUUUGUUCAGCUGGCAGGCCUAUAUUCUCUGUGAUAAAUGUGGGAUCUUCUGCAGUGGUGGGAAGGAUUUGAUUCUUACACUGAAAGAAUGCUGCUGAAAAUCCAUAGCUGUGUUUUUUUUACACUGCAGGAGUCACCAAACAAGGAUUUUGGAAGAUGCAUAUGAUUUACCAGUCUACUAUGCUAACAUCAUUUUGACAGGUGUGAUGCAUCAACACAGUAUUAUAAGCUUAAGAUAAAUUACAGCAUUCUUUUUCAUCAAGCAGCAAACUGCAGUGGAGUAUUGCACAAAGCUCAGUGUGUUCAGUCAGUAGGCAUUUGUGCCUGCAGCCUAAAAUAGAAUGUCUUUCUGUGAUGGGUUAAUCCCUCUUUGGCUCUGAUCCUGGGUAGAUUACUAGUUAUAGCAUGCCAUGAAAGACUGCUGUGUAAGGCAAGUAUUUCACUUAAGUCACUUACCACAUUCUCUGGACAACAGAAAUUUCUUGUGCAUCUGCUAGAAAUGUGGGGAUAAUUUAAUUGCCUUUGCUAAGAUUUCCAAUGUAAUUUAAUAAUCAUUUUUAUUAGAAUGUGCAUAUUGUUAGAAGUUAUCAGAACACUGUUACUCCUGGUGCAUUCUGAACAGCAGGUAGAAAAAUCAGACUUUGAUUUUGACUAGGGGUCCUAAUCAUUUCUUUUCAUAAUUUAGAGCACAAAAUGUGUUUGGUCAUUCUCUAUCACUUAUUAUUAUUAUUAUUAUUAUUAUUUUUAAUUCUGGUUGUCUAAACUGUAUGACAAGACCGCAUUCUACUUUACAUUUACCCAAAGGUCAAUAAAUAUCAGAACUUGGCAAAGAAACAAUGAAUAUUCUUCAAACAUUUCCCUGCAAGAAAAAUAGGCUCAUUUCAGCUGAGUGGAUGUCUCUAUUUGAAGGAUAUUUUUCACUGACAUUCAAUUAAUUGAAUUUUCCUGAAGUGGAUGUAUGUAGAAGCUAAGUGAUAAAUUUUAGGAAGUGUACACUUUUAUUUCCCUUAGUUUUAGUGCCAAGUAGGGCUGCAUUUAUAGUGCUUCAUUUUUAAGAUGGUCUAUACAGUGAUUUUUAUCAAAUGGUCCUAUUUGAAAUGUUCUAGCUUGGUAUCCAAAUCAUUAUCUUCAUUUGCAAGUCAGCAAAAUUCUGUGGAUUACAAACACUUAAGCUUUCAGAGCUUGACAUGUGGUCAGAGAAUGGAAAUGGCACUGUGCAAUGGCCAUAACUAGCCAAAUCUCCCAGAUAUUUUGUGGGAGCUUUAUGUAUGAAGAAAUGUUGAGAUGUUAGAAAAAUAGGACAUUAACCAAGAGUAAUGAAAAUGUCAGCAAAAAGUACUGAGUUAAAAUUAAUAAAGAUAGUUCUUGAAGAAAUUAAUUUGUAAACAUUUGUGAAGGGAAAGGAGAAAAGCUUGUGAGAGAAACUAAUACUUGAAAUAAAUAUGGGUAACUAUAAGGAGCAGGAAUUGUUUUUAUUUUUUUUUAUUCUAAUAUCAUUGCUAUAUUUUGUCUUUUUUUCCAUUCUAUUUCUAUUUAGAUUUUAGCUCAAAAUGGAGAUGGACUGAUCUAAAAUAUUCGUCAAAAAUGCUUAAACACGUUGAGAACCCAAAUAUACUUUUAAAUAUGGUCAAUGUGUGUCUUUUGUACAUAGAUCUGUGUUCAUAGUACUAGAAAACUGUUGAGGCCAAAUAGUAGAGAGCUUGGACCCUGACGGUAUGCAGUCUUGUUUACACAGAUUAGACUGAAUAGAAAGUCUAUGGCUGGCUGUGAAGACUGCAAGAUUUUCAGGCUGAACAGGCUCAUAUGGAAGCAGCUGAGGCUUUGUAUGAAAGUGGGAGAUACUCUGCAUGGGUGAUUAACUGUAGUGCAGUGAUCACUUUUCAGGCCAGCCUCGACUCCAUUUUAGACAUCAAAAAAAGGUUUAUAAAGCAAAGUAGUCUUCAAAAUUUUCUGUUAACAAUCAUUCUGAGGAAGAGAUUAAAAAAUGUCAAUGAAAUCAGAAAGUCAAGAGGUUUAUUUGGCAUAAUGGCUGAACAGGGAAGUUCUGUUUUUCAAGGAGGAUCAGGGAGUUCAAUGGUAGGUACAAGGCCACAGUACUAAAUGCUGACAUGGACUUUCCAAGGUUGCCCAGAGUAGUGCUAAAGUCAAUAAUUCCAUAUUGCACCUGUCAGAAGCUACAACAUAAUUGCUUUGAAGUGAGGCAUAUUAACAUCCAUGUGCUCAGCAAACUAAGCAAUUAUGAACAGGUCUCUGCUCUCCCUGUUGGCUGUUAUAAGUAUUUGUUCAAUUUGUUGCUUUGCCUCAAUUCUAGUUAAUGUGACUUAUGAGCACUUAGCACAUACUGGAAAGACAAGGGAGAGAUGUGGCUGCUGGUAGUCUGGCAGUAGUCCACAAACUGUGACCUUAUAGUGACAGGCAAAGAUGGGGCUGAUAGUCAGGAAGGAGUACAGGAUUGUAGGGCAGGAUGCUGCCAGUUGGCAUGGAAACACUAACAGUCAAAGCAUUAAGAUUUUAAAGAAACCAAACUUUUCUUUUCUUUUUUUUUUCCUAGAACAUGAUAGCAAAUGUUUUUGUAACAGUUGCAGAGACUGCUGAUUUUGCCUUUACAAGAUCAAACACACAGUACUACAGGAAUUUGAAAAAAAACAUAUAUCUCUCAAUAUAUUACAUGGGAAAUGAGGAAAAUUGUGUUCUUAUGAAAUUUGUUAUCACUGAGUUCGCCCAAUAUUAUGCAGGUGAUUACUUGAAUUUUCCAAGCAGCAGAUGUUCAGAAAUGGGGAGACAGAAGCUGGCCAAGAAAGCUGCCUCAGCAGCAGUGUGGGUUAUAAAUUCAGCAUGGACAAUCUGUUCUUCAAAGUAGAGCUAAAGUGAUUUAAAAGGUUCGUCAAGGUCACGUAGGAAUACUGUACAGGAGUGCUCCAAAGCACCAGCUGUCAGGACUGUCAAGUCUUGCUAAUGAACAGUGGAAUUUGUAGAAAAUAAUACUAAUGCUAAUUGAAACCUGAACAGCUUAGAAGUCUAGCAGGUUAUUGCUAUUGAUUCAUAUCCUAUGAUAAUGUCUCCUACAGAGCAUGCAGGAGUGCCUGUCUACCUGUAGUAUUAGCUAAUCCAUUGUUGAUGCCAUUCAUACAAGUAUCUGGAAGGUCUGAAGCCCUCUUCAGAGAGAGGGGUGUUCUAUUACUAUAGAAAUGAUGGAUCACUUUCUGAUUUUGUAAUAAAUUCUGAGCAGUAUCUUCACCUCAGAAAAGGAGAGGAAAGUGCCAAGAUAGCUUACAGUUCAUUAGGAUUUUUUCCAAGGGCUGGAGUGGGUCUGAAUAAUCUCAGUUAUAAUUUAAUUAAUCUAAUUAUCUUAGUUUCUGUUUUGGGGAAAGAGGUGGAGGCCUUUUUUAUAAAAAGGAUUAAUAAGGAACCAUUAAUAAGGAACCUAGCAGCAGUUGUGUCUUAGGUAUAUGUGCCAAGUCUGACCCUAGAGUUGAAAGAGAGAUAUGUAAAUUCUGGACCUUAAAAUGCUAAAUUGCCCUUAAAUUGCCAAUUAUGAUCACGUGUGUCUGCAUAGGAGAACAAAUCAGAACUCACCCUAGCUCUGGUCUCAUGGUCCAACUGCAGGCACACAGCACUGAGUUUAAUCAAACAAGCCUCACUUCUUCAUUCAGGAAUCUCUGAAGCUCCAUGGUAUGUAUUCCCUAUGUUCUUCUUUAAAUUCGGUUCCAUUUUAAAAUGAGAACUUACAUGGCACUAAGAAUAAUACCGAUAUCUAAGUAGACUGUCUCUCAAGGGUUACAUGACACAUGUAACAAGUAUGUUCAAUUUCAAUGCAGUUUGUAGACUUCGUUAAAGACAGCAACAUUAUCCCACAAACAGCAUCCAAAACAUUCAAAAAAAUUUUAUAGACCAACAGUGAGGGCCUUGAUAAUGAAGAAAUUUGGUCAGUUUUUUCUCUACAUUGACUUAUGAAAUUUCUUUAAUUGAGUUUUAUGACAUUCAUCUCAGAAAUUUAGUAAAUAAAAAUCACAGGUUGCAAAUGGUAUUUGUGUAGAUAUGUAAAAGAUCUACAGGAAGACCCUUUGAAUUUUGGGAAUGUGAGCCUAUUUCUACUACUCAAGUGGUACAGAUCCUGAGUGUCACUUAUUAAGUUAUUACUGCAAAACCACAGACUUCUCAUGUCACCAGUUGGACCUCCCUUUGCUUCUUGUCACUGCUUUUACUGUGCUGCCAGAACAAAUACAUUCAUUGAGUGGUAAGUUAUAAUUUUCCAGAUUUAUGCAGUGUUGGAAUAUUCCCCAUGGUAUCUUUCUGUGCACAUUUUGCAAUUCAGCUGCUUAAGGAAAAUUCUGGGAUUUGAAUUGCAAUUAUUUUUAAGUAACAAGUAAUUUAGUAUAAAAAUGGUCUGGUGAGUGUCACAGUUGUCUUUAUGGUCUUAAGUUUCAACUUCACACUGUGAAGACAGUAAGGUUUGUUCGUCAGCCAGAUCUUGAAGCUGAGAAUAGAGUUAAUUAACUGAGAUUGGCAGUAUAUGCUUUCCCUAUGUCAGGACAAAACUUUACCGGUGUUUUGAAAACAACCUUCCAGUUGUUUUUAUAUUAUUCUGACACUUUCUGGGAGUAUUUUUCAUAAACUGUUUUUACAAAUCACUGACAAAUAGGAUCGUAGAAUCAUAGAACAGUUUGGGUUGGAAGGAACUUUAAAGACCAUGGAGCUCCAACCGCCUGCUGUGGGCAGGGCUGCCAAUCAUCAGAUCAGACUGCCUGGGGUCCCAUCCAACCUGGCCUCAAAUAACUCCACAUAUGCCUAAUACUGAACAAAAUGAAUAUAAAUAGUUCAAGAUUCAAGGAACUUAGGAUAUAUAUAGGCACCUAUAUAAUGCAGUUCAGUGCACAUUGAAUGUUGCAAGUAUGAUCAGUGUAAGACCUUGUCUUUCCAUUUUCACAUUCAUAUUUUCAGGUUAGCACGAAGAAAGUUACUGUUCUUCAAUACAAAUGAGAUGAUCAAAAUUAUAUUUAUCUAUCUGAAAGAUUUUGAAGAUUUAAUACCUCUGUUAGUCCAUCUGCAGAGCCAACAGAAAUCCCAAGGUGGCCAUCUGGACAGAUUUCACUUCUAACAUUCAGCCACCAUUACUGUCUCUUCUCUUAGAAAUAUGUAAUUUGUGGGAAGCAGACAGAAGCAGUGUUAAGACAGCUGCCUGAAGUCUAGCUUUCUGGUCAGGUAAGUGUGUUGCAGAAACUAGAGAUCCGCAUGGCCGAGGAAACUGUAUGGAGUGGUUAAAAAUAGCUGAUGCACUGAACUAGUCAGUUUUCAUAUUGGGCUCAUAUAGGGCAGAGACUGUUAAUGAUUGUUGAAGCGUGUAUUUAUAGGAAGUUGACCAUGUGGAAACCUGGCCCAAAUCACCUCAGUCCCCAGUAUAUACAUAGAAAUUACCUAGAACCUUGUAAAUAAGGAAUACUCAUAAAUGUUUUUCUUCUUUUAAAAAUGACUUAAUGGUUACAGUUUUCCAUUCAGAAUACCUUUAGCUGUUUAAUGAAGCAUCAUGUACAGUAUGAACUACAUAAUAAUUAUAGGUUUUGGAGCUGUUUGUAAGUGAUAGCUUACAAUAAAAAAUGUCUGACUUAAGAAAACAGUCUUGCUCACAGAAUAGUAAUUUUAGCAUAAAAGUUUAUGAUUUUUUAUAGCUUUAUAACAUUUGAUGAUGCUAUAAAGCCCUCACAGUCUUUACUGUUUAAAAUGAUUUGAUAGCACACAUACGUUGUGUGAAUGCUGCAUUCUUCAUCAAAUUUUAUUUUUGCUUCCCGUUCUGUUAAAAAAUAAAAAUGUAGCAUGCAAAUACAGAGAUGAUUAUUUCCUACUUCAGUGUUUUAAACAUUUGACGUAGAGUGGAUGGUUAAAAAAUGAAAAAAUGUUUGUAGUUCUUAAAUGGAAAAAAAUUAGAAAAAUGUAAGAUAAAUAGAAUGAGCAAUAUUCUGUGAGUUUUUGUUUUUGUGCUUUUGUUGUUGCUGCUUUUUUUUUUUUUUUCCUAGAAGUGAAAUGAAUAUUGAUGAAAGAAAGGAAAAUAAAGGUUUUUGAAGAUUCAUGGAAAAAGAAUGCAUUUCCCAGAAUCAUCAGUCUCCAGGGUGACUGUACUCUUACAGCCAUGCUUGUGAAGAGAGGAGGUCCUUAAGCACUGCCCACCUCCUGUCUGUGCUUUGACAGCUGCCCUAAUGCAAUCAGGAGCCAGCAGGUAGGACAGAGCUGAAGCUCUCUGCCUGGGUACCAACUAAACAUGGAAGCUCAGAGGCCAGGGUGUACCAGAGAGAAAGCUGCCUCAGAAGAAAAGGGGUUAGUCUAGUUCUGAAUAGCUUGGACAUUAAGAGACUGGAGAAAGCAUGGUUCAAGAGUGGGAGUGAAAUUCCAUUGUCAGCAUUCAUGAAAAACUACUAGUGCUUCUAAUAGUUUUCUUGGGAAAUCAAAGCACCUGAAUUGCAUGUGUACCUGGCUUCUGUGGUUGGAAUACUGGAUGAAUGCCCUUGAAAACCCUGCCUGGUUCAUUAGUUAACUGGGAGAUGCCCAGAGGUUAUAUGUAGAACAUCACUGCAACUUUUGAACAUAGGAUCUGAAGGAAACCAGUUUCAGUGGAGGCCAUUAAAAUUAACUGGAAUUCAGUUUAGCGAGUACAUUGCUACUGCACAAAAGCAGUAUCUACAGCUUCAGCGAUAAAUCAUAGCAACCUCUAUAAAUGGUAUACCACAGAAAAUCACAAUUAAACAAAAUAAUGUUUUCCUCCUUUUACUCUAUUUCUCUAACAGCUGUAACAGCUGAAGUAUCAUGCCAGAGACAUUAAUAUGCCUGGCCCCUGAGUAAUUCUAGAUGUAGGCUAGAUUUACCUGGAUUACAGUUGUAUAUUUCAGAAGGUGAAGAAAAGAGAUGCAGCACUUGAGAUUUAAUUUUGACAGGAAAAAAGGCAGACACAAAGUUGAAGCAUCAUCUAAAUGGUUAAUUUGGAUACUUAGAGACUUCUAGCUGCUGUGGUGUGUGAACACCUGGGAAGAAAAGACUCCAGCAGGUAAACAGCUAUACUUUCCUACUACUGGUUUUGUCCUUGCACUGAUUUUUGUAGAUAUUGGUGACGAAUAGUUAAAUAAAUAAAUAAAUAAAUAAAUAAAAUCCCCUGUCCUUAGAUAACUCAAAAUCAACAUUUUGAAUUAAAUGAAGAACAGAAAAUAUUGAUUCUUAGCAAAACAAAUAGAGCAGGUGAACAAAAUCUGUGUUUUGAGAAUGAAUGUUUUAGCAAAGCCAGCAUUUGCAAAUUGGAAAAUAUCAAUAUUGCUCUCUGUCACUACAGCCAUGCAUCUCCCUGCACAGGAGUUAUUCUCAGUUAAUACCUCACAAAACUAAACAACUAAUGUAAGCUUAAAAUGAUAUUAAUUGUUCAGAAAACAAAGAAAAUUCUUCUCCAGAGGCACAAGAUUUCUCUUUACUAUACUUCCAUUUCUUGGAAAACAUCCAUAAAGGGCGCUGGACUUUUGCCUCAAUGAAUUUUGGUCAAUUCACUGUCCUUUCUGGUUCAAGGUUUGAGCUGAGAAUAUGUUUUCUAAUAUUCAAGGCCACAAUGUUAAAUUUGCAUUAGUAUUCCAGUGCUCACAUUUGGAAAGGCAGCAUUUGAGAUAGGACUUGCACAGUGCAGAGCUUAACUAGUUAGGAUUUAUAUCCUGAAUGUACUGAGAAGAAAAUAAAAAGCCAGUGUGUUUUGAUGAAGCACAAGUUCCUGUUGAACCUGUUGAAGGGUUCCUUCUGUUUUGUUUCACACAAGCACUGUUUAGGUAGCACAUGUGCCAGUUGGCCCAACAAUUUACCUCACAGGAGUCAGAAGUGCUAACAACUGAGAAAUGUUUUGCCAAAUCAAGAUGAAAUGUUGUCUUUUGUGUGUGUAACUAUGUCUUUAUGAAAUAAAUGACAGAAAUUCUGUCUAUCUCUAGAUCCACUGCAGAGGGAAUGUGUAAUGCAAUGAUCAUCAGGAACAGACUUAUCAGGGGUCAGAUCAAAGAUCCACAUGGCCGAGUAUCCUGUCUCUGAUCAGAUUCAAUGGCAAAUUCCUAAGGAAAAGCAAAACAGGUGGAAUUUGUUUGUCUGACUGCAGAAGUCCACAUUUCAGUCUGAACAUAUUGCUUGAGGUUCUUUCCACAGUGAAAGAAAUUGUCAGCAGAGCUGGUGGGAACUUGUCUUGGAGCAGAUGCUCAAAACAGGAGAGCAGUUUCUCCUGAGAAGUUCUUGUCUUUCUCCCUUGAAUGCAAAGAUAACCUGGAAAGAUUAGCUCAGCUGUAUAUUUUUAUAAUGUAGAUAUGGAGAAAUGAGAAGAAUUCCUCAGUGUUUAUCUCCUAUUUCUCCUGCUAAUUUACCCAUUUACCUUUUUUAUGCAGGUAAAUAAAUCCAUGAGGUAACUCAGUGUUAAUCCUAACUACCCAGUCUGAGAAGAACUGUCUUUUGUUAGUUCUAAAUUUGUAACCUGUUAGUUUCAUUUCUUGUUUCUUAAUAUUAUUUUGCUGAUAUGCUCACUAAAAGGAAAUCAACUGAUAGUAUGAAGGUUCUUAACGACAAGCUUACAUGGCAUAGACCUUUGUGAGCCUUACCUGCCUUUGCAGCAUAUAGGGUAUACAGAAGCAGAAUGUGCUGUGUCAUGAAGCAUCUGCUGAAGGACAACCAAAAAUUGGAUUGAAUGACUUGAGUAGCAACCAGAGUUCCCUCUAGUAUAAUCAUGUUGAUUUGACUGUUACGAUUGGAACACAAAAGAUAAUGAUGAUUUGUGUGAUGCUCAAAGCUGAUAAGAUUUUCCAUAAAAAUUUGGUGUUGUUUUUGAUCCCGAAAUAUCAGACAGAUAAAUAAGCAAAAUACGUUCACUGUACCGAUUUCUUACGCAGACAUUUAAAUUGUGAACAUUUUAAGAUUAAGAAAUGUAUUUUGUAAAGGAGCAAAAUUGAACUUGCCUGUCACUGAAGAGACAGAUAAUUCGUUGUGUGACAGGAAACACAGGGUUAUAUUUAGAAAAGGUUUAUUGUAUGGUCUUCAGUUGUAACUGCUUGAUGCAAAGGAAAUUUUGGAACUCUACUUUCCUUAGCUGUUUGAUGGAAAAGGUUCUUGAGAAUAUGUACUUUACCCACUGCCUAGUCACAGUCUUCCUCUGAACUCUAGGUUUCAAAUAAUCUCCUGGACCAUAGUUUGUAAUUAACUGGCUUUAAGUCACAGACUUUAACACGAGUAACUCUGCUCACUGAGCUGGAGUAACUUCAUAAAUAAACCUUGUACCCUGGGAAGUCCUCAUAACUCUCUCCAAAGUUCUCUUCCAUGCUAAUUAGCACAAAUGAGGCAAAAAAGGAUCUGCAACCAAUAAACAACUCUAGCUCCUUGUAGAAGAUGAUAAAGGUGCCAUUUCUUAUAAUACAGAUUAGAGAAGUCUUGAGCUGAAUUAUACAUUACAGACAUCCUACCCAUUAUGCAGUGUGUGUUGAAGGCUAUUAUCUUCAGUCCUUUGGGAACCGUGAGAUACGAGAGACAUAGAAGCUAAGAAGAAAGAAGAUGAAAAAAGAAAACUUUUUUUGCUGGAAGCAAAUUUUAGUUUAUUAUUCAGCUCAGUUCCACUGUUCCACUUUCAAAGUUUCACUAGAUGUUCCAGUUAAAUAGCAAAUGGUAGUUUGAAAAAGAAAGAUUCCUUUAAAGUAGAAUUUCUUCAGGGAGGACAGGUACAGUCUCCAGAAUUCUAACAUUAAAGCAACUGAAUUUGCCAAAAUAGGUUAGGCAACCUUUCCUUAGAUUUUCUUUUAUUUUUAUCUAUGAAACAAACUCUGCUUACCACUGCUUAUGGCUACUUAUGAUGACAAGUUUGACUUCUGUCUAAACCAGGGUGCUACUUAUUUUAUACUCAUAUUUUAAGAUGAUCUCAUUUAGGAACAUACUUCAAACCACUUUCUGAAAGCAACGGUGUGUACUCUUUUUUUUUUUUUUUUUUUCAUUCUUGAGCGUUCGAGGAGGUUAGCUUCAUUCCUUAGAAGCUUAAAGUUAAUGUAUUCAUUUUUUACCCUUCUUUCCAAGGGGCAUUCACGAUGUGUCAUUAACCAGCAGUGCUAUCUCUUUGUAAUGCAGGCUCUCAUAUGACUUGACCCAUACUUCUAGUAGUCUGCACCAUCAGCUCAAGUACAGUAAACACCUACUUGCUGAAAUCACACUCGGAUACCGGAAUCCCUUGUGACAAUACAUACUUUCAUGGUAUAAACAGCUGAAUAUUGUACAUGAGAAUUCCAGAUGGCUGAGAGAAACAGAAAUUAUGAUUUUCCUCUCAUAAGAAAUUAAGACUAUUUAAUUUUUGUAAAAAUACCCUAGAGGACUAUUAUGUGACUUGCAUUUUUUUUUUUUUCCUUCCCAGUCUCAGAAUAAGAAUUUGCAGAAUGCUACUUUGUCAGAUGGAAAGCAUGUAUUUUUCCCUCUUGGUGAAAAAAAAAAAUCAUAUUAUUGGUUGCAUGAAUAUGAUUUUAACUGGCUUUUCAUGACUAUAAUAUAUUUGAAAAGAAGACAUUGUGCACAUAAAUGAAAGCAAAGGUUUUGGUUAGAACAAAUCCAGUUCAUUCUCUCAAAUUUCUCCAACUAAGGCAAGGUUCUUCAUAACUUUAUAGGGAGGAAACUAUAAACAUUCUUUGAUGAAAAUGUUAUAAUCUUUGUAGAUCAUUUGUAAUUAUGCAUUAAACAAAACAAUGAAAGUGAAGUGUACCUAACAUUUACCACUGAACAACUUGCAUAAGGAUAACUUUUCCCACUUCAUACUCCAGUGAAAGAAUACCUUGAUAAAAUGGUUAACUGGAAACAGAUGUUAAGUGUUGGGAUAAAAUGCCUGUAGCAACUUUAAACAAAUUCAUAUCUAUCUCAGCUAAGCCUAUGCUUGACAGGUAAAGUACAAGGGGCCCCUAUCUUCUUUCUGUUGCUUACAGCAGCACAGGUAACAUACGUUUUCUGAUUAACUUUUAGUGUGGUAGAAGCUGCUGCAAGCCAAGAGCCAGCUAUAUUUAGUAGGCAAGGGACAAGGCAUCUGAGGGAAAAAGUCUAGCCAAAUAUAAUGAAUUGUUUGAAAGCUGAAGACGAAUACAUUUCCAUUUCUUAAGACCUGUGUUCUGAUCUUGAAUUUCUGUCACAAGAUUAAGGAUUAAGGACCGUCAGAAAAAGAAGUAAACCUGGCAACAUAGCCAUUGCCUCCCAUAGGCAAAUACAGGAUGAAAAUCAGAUCUCUUUUACUACAGGGAGUCUAGGAAAGCUUCUGCUUGACUAAAAAAAUGCCUUAUUUCCUCCUCCUCCUCCUCCCCCCCGUCCCCACCAUUCAGUUGAAAAAUAAAUAUUAAAGAAAAAUAAAUAUGAGUAAAUGCAUUCUAAAAGCAGAAUGGAGAAUUAUCUCAAUAAUGGAAAAGGAAUCCUGUCUUCUCUUCACCUGUACCCUAGAAAUUUAUGAAAGUUACUGGAGGUUAAUCAGAAACAAUCAUGAAAUCUGAAACAAGCUCCAUUUUUUUGUGAAAAAACAGAAGAAUAUUGUCAUGUAUUCAACCUCCUCAGUUCAAUUACAAUAAGCUUAUUCCUCAGUUAUGAUUAACAUCACUAAGGCUGUUAUCUCAAAGGGUCACAAUUCAAAUCUAUCCUAUACUUGUCUCUUACUGAUGCUACCAGAACUUUUGGAGCAUGGAUUUCAAAGCAGAACCUGAGUGGCAGACUAGGAAUCAAUGUAAUCUUUUACACUUAGAUGUUUGUAACACUGUUUUUCAUCUGUUGCAGUUUGAAACACAACUAAGACUUGCCUCCCUCUGGAAGGAAUCCAAAAUGGAGGUUCUUAUGGGAAGAACACAGUUGUUCUGUUUUUGUUGUUGUUGUUGUUGUUUGUUUGUUUGUUUGUUUUUCUUAUAAAUAUACUUCAUUAUUGUUGUUGUUUGUUUUGUUUUGUACCAUUUUGUUUCUUUUGUGUAGAUCACGUCAAAUAACAGUGGAGGCUGAAUUUAGUCAAAAGAGGAAGUGAUUCAAAUAUUUCUAGUUUGCAUCAUAGUUAUAACGGUCCUGAAACAAGACUGGAAGUUCAUUUAUUUUUAAGCUGCCACCUUUAAAACAGCCUCUGUGGCUAUACCGUGAUAUUCUGAGGCCAACAUUCAUUUGAGCAAAUGCUCCUAGCUGGCUGUUCUCUGUGAGAUCUCCAGGCUUAGGCAUUCAGUAUCUCUAUUCCAACAGUUGUGCAAAACAAUUAGAUUCAUUUGUCUUCAGAGCACAUGGCAAGCUUUUGUGAAAGAGGAGGCCUGUGGUUGUUGGACAUAAAGUUGAUGGGAUGGUUAGAAUUUGCUGACAGCUUGGAAGCUUUGUCUUUCUUUCUCUCACCACCUUGUGGAGGAAAAAUUGCUGUUGUUACUAAAUUCUCUUCAACUUGGUUAGGCUUUGUAGAGAUUCGUGAUUUUAGAAAUGUCUUUUAGACAGAGCAACAAACUGAAAAUACAUUUAUUUCUGGAAAUACUUAAGGUUUCAUUGUGAUAACAGUGGGUUGUAUUUGUGCUAUGUUUUACUCCCUGCAUUUCAAAUGUAACUAUCUGCAUAGACUGAGAACACUUGCUCUGCAUGUAAAACCAUCUAGUGUUGUUCUACCUAAAAUCAGGAGUUAUACCAAAAUCCAGGUGAUUUCUCAGCUGUUAUGGUUUCUUUGCUUAUUCUAAGUUAUUUUUUGUUUUUAUUUUUUUUCUUUUUCCUUUUUUCUCUGCAGCAGUAAGUAAAAUGUGUCUGAAUCUGUUGUAGGCUGACUUUUUAAAUGUUAGUUUCUGCUGAAGUCUUCUAAACACUAGAUGUUAUACUUCUUUAAAGGAAUUUCUUUUUUUUCCUGUGCCAGAGAUCCUGUCCCAAACUGACAUAGAAGUUGUUUUUAGCUCAGAUAUUUCCUAAAAAAAAAAACAACAAACAAAACCAAAAUAAAACAAAAAAAGAGAAUUAUACCUCAAUGAAAAUGUGAUGCAGAAAACUCUUAGAGCAUUUUGAACUGAUUGAAACCCAUCCAAAUAAGGCUAAAUAAUUCAGUUUUAGAUGAUAACACAGGCAUCAUGCAUCAUUGCCUUUCGUAUUAUCUUAGCAAAGCUACAACUAAGCUGUGUUCAUUCCUGUGUCUUAUCAGGAGUAUUGCACAAUACCCUAUAGUACACUUAAGGGCAAAGUUCCUUUGAUGCAGACUUUGUCACCUGUUAAAUACACCCAGAGUACACAUUAUCUAGGUAAACUUCUGACCUUUUGAAAUUAAAUUAUCUACUUCCAGUGAAUCAGAUUUAAAAUCAUUUUACAAAUUGGGAUAAGCUCAAUUUAUCCUAGUUUUUCAGAUUAAAUAUUAUUAAAAUCCUCCUUUGUCUGAGUCACUUUUCUGAAGCUUGCCUGUCAAUGCCCUUGAGAGAAUUAUAAACAUUUGUUGGGAUACUAGACAACACUGAAGAACUACUAUUUUCAAAAACAAGCAAGCAAACAAAACCAAACUCCCUCACCUGUCAUAGUUAUACGACAUAGUUAAAUUUCCAGAUUUAUUGCUUUAGCAUUUUUUUAAUGCCAUACAAUUUCUUUUUGUUACACCUACAAUUGGAUUAGUAUAGAAUAAAGCUCUCAUCCAGAAACGCUUUUUAACUGUCUGCCUCUUUGAAUGGAUUUAAUCGUUUUGUAUUUAAACUAACGAAUUAUGUAAAUGAUGUUGCUUAAUCUAAUUUAAAAUACCAUUUAAUUUUCAUAUACUUUUUUGUUUUUACAUUACUUUGACAGCACUGACAUCAGUCCUAUUUUUACACUAAUAUAAAAAUUAAUAUAGGAUUGCUCUUCACAUGCUUUUUUAGUCUACUUUCUAGUGCAAGUAUCUUAUUCUUUCAGGACCAGCAAAAUAAUAUUAAAGUUGUCUGUAAAAAUUUCUGAACAAAAUUGAAUCAACUAGACAAAGUCAAUUUAGAGAAGUAUAUAUUACAUGUGUGUAGGUGCACUAAUCUUUUCUCAUUAGUUUUAGAUUAAGCAUUUUCCUAUUAAAAGUAAAAUCCUGUUACCUAAGAGCACUGCACAUUUCUCCAAAAGGACAAUGUAAAUUGUUCAGAUUAUCUAAAAUAUAAAAUUGAUAGAAAACACAGAAAAGGCACAGAUGCUUUGGUUUUCUUUACUUUUUUUCAUUCCCUCUUUUUUUUUUCCCCCUGAAUUUGUUUGUGUGGAAUGCAUAUGGAAUUUGUUGUAUCAACAGCAAACAAUGUCUUUUUUUAAAAGGGUAUUUUACUGAUAUUACUUGACGUGUUUUUAAUUAUUCCAGAAAUCAAGAAGUACAAAUGAAACACAUCUGUAUGAUUGCUGUUUUCCCAGAGAAGAGCUGAAAUGCAUUAUGAAAUAUUCAAAGCUUUGUUAUGUUGGUGAACUCAGAGUGUCAAAGACAGACACACAUUGUUUGAAAAGCUUAAUCUGGAAAAAAAGAGAGUAAAGUUUGAAGAAGGAUAUGUGAGGACAUAUUUAACUACUGUAAGACUUCUUGCAUGCAUAGAUGUGCAUUUAUGUGUCACAUGCUCAUCAGAAUCUACCUACACACAUCAUAUUAACGUUGAUAUAUUAAGAAGUCUUCUUUAUUAGCGUCUUAAUUUCUCGAAUAACACUUUGGAAAAAAUACUUUACUCACAGGAUUUUUUUCCUUCUGCACUUUGGAAGAUCCUCAGAUCCUCACAGUUUACCUGAGAUGGAAAGAUUUAUGUUAUCUCAAAGUAAUGCCAGAAUGUACUCAUUCUAAUAAUUUCAGAACUAAUGAUCACAGACAGAUGACUAAAUCAACCUAGCAGCUCUUUUUCUGUGCUGAAGUCUUUCUGUAUUUACAGAUAAUAAAAGACUAGAAGUCUUAAUAACAUCUAGUAUAAUCAGCUUAAGAUUUUGAGUUUUAUAAUGGACACAUGAAACUGAUAAUUGUUUCCAGUAGGCACAUCUAUCUGGAGCUGGAAAGCUGUUUCAAAUUCACUUUUUCUAUAGAACAAGGGCUGCUCCAGAAGUAAUGCCUCCUGUUUUAUUAUGUUGGCCUACAAUGUCAGAAGCAGGUGUUCGUGGCACGGCAGCAGGAGCUGGACAUUCCCACCAAAAUUUCAUUAUAUUUUGUUGCUCUGUGACAGAUGAAAGAAGAGGGACAGUCUGAGAAAAUGGCAUUUGACAUAGAAGUAAAUAUGUGCAAUUGAAUUCCUCCAUGCAUAGAAAAAUUGUACCCAUUGACAUUCAUUGACACUUGCUGCAAGUUCGUAGAGACCAUACAGUGGGUGUGAGCACACUAAGGUGGAGGAUGGUGUGUUACAGCAGUGGCAACAGUGACGUGAAAGAUAAACCACGUCUUAUGAGAAAGGCAUGCAGGCACUUGUUCAUCAGUGUCAAAAAUGUGCAAUUAAUGGUUGCUACUACACUGAAAAUAAAUGUUUUGUGGCUGAGAAUAUUCUCUAUCAAAUAGUGCUAUUGUGCUGUUUGCAGGUGGUGAAUUUUUCAUGGAAAUAAAUAGGAGGCAUUACUUUCAGAGUGACCUAUGUAUGUUCUCCACUUUUUUUGAGAAGACCUAUUGAAGUUGGCAUAAUAAAAUAAUUUAUUCAGACAUUCAGUUUUCCUUAUAGUUCUGUCUUAGGCCCUUCCUUAUUGGACAGGCUACGUUUGACUUUUCAGAGGAGAUUAGGUCAAAGUCUCCAUCAGUUGCAGGGUCAGGAUUCUUUCCAUUUCCAACUCAAAAUCAGUCUUUUUUUUUUUUUUCUUGUAUCAUUGUACGGGAAAAUAAUAAAGAAUGUAUACUUUGUUUAGGUAUGUCUAUUACACAUUUGUGAGGUGGUCCCAUUGCUUUAAUGUAGAUGGAAUCUUUGCAGUAACAUAGAGAAAUGUGUUUACACAGUUAUGUUUAUUCACUCUCAUAUUCUGCCUUUGAAAGAAGGACAAAUGUAUUUGCCUAAACUGUAAAAUGCUUUUUGCUAAUGCCUCUGAAUUCUUUACACUUACUGUUUUCCCUUCUUCCUAUGUCUCUUUAUCCCUUUGGAAUAUGAUCCUUUUCUCUCUGUCAUUUAGAUUCCUAUUCUUGACUACUGCAAGAUUCUUUCCUGCUACAUAGGAACCUAUGUUUUUCAAGUUUUUACUUUUGACCAAAGCUGUGUUCUUUGGCUCAUUUUUUACCCUCUUAUAUAACCUUCACUGAACUGAAAAAAAUGAUACAAGAAUUGUCUUUUAAACUUGAAUGAAGCGAUAUCAAACACUGUGCUGCCUAACAUAGAGAAAUGAAUUGAUUUGGGGAAAUUAAAUAUUGAUAUUAUGCUCUCAGGGCCAGCACAAAACUAGGCAAUUUCACAAAUUUUGCAUGGACCUCUGAGAGUUAGUGUGAAAAUAUAUUAAAGUAAAGGAAGUAGGGCAAGUGGCUAAAAGAAAGGAGUCUGUAGCUGACAUGUCGGCAUUGUAAGUUUUCAGCCCUUCUGAGCAGAGCUCCACUGAAUGUAAAAUGGCAAAGAGGAGAGGGUCUUUUGUGUCUCUCCUCAGAUAGGGGCAUUGACAACCUGAUUCAUUUUCAGUACAUGCUCUUGUACCUGCAUGAAGCAACUGUAGAACUACAGAGGACUUUCACUUGAAUUUGGUCCCUAGCUUAAGCCAAACAAAAAGACUUCUCUUCACAAGCUGCAGAAAUAGUUAAAGGGUAAGAAAUUUCAUGUCGGUCAUCAGUAUCAGAAAGUACUGCUGUGAAUGGUUUUGAUUUAUUUUAGUCUAUCAAGCUGAAUGUUAAUUUUCAUGCUAGAAAGAUGUCUUUUCUUCCUUGAUUUAUUAAAUAAAAAUAGGUAAAAAAAAAAAAAAAAGAUUCUUUUAAAGAUACUCUUAAAUGUAUCUACUAUGAUUUAAAUUAAGCAUUAGCUUUUAUCUCUAAAAUGAAGAGCUCGGUUUACUUCUCUUAGUGACUUCGGUUUUAGAAGAAAAAAUUGUGUCCAUGUUCAGUUAUAUGUUCGAAAAACACUUAGUUACAGUCAGUUACAUAUACAUCUCCAAAUACCAGUAAAAUUUCCUCCACUUGUCUGUGUGUGUGUGUGUCUGUGUGUGCAGAUAAAGAUAGAUCGUCAAGCUCUUACCAUCUAGACACUCUUCUAUGUAUUAGGAAGGGAUACGUUGUGAAGUAGGGCAUAAGCUUAUAAUCUAAGGUCAUAGAUUUGGAACUGCCUUGGAAGUGGUGUGUGAUGCUCAGCAAGACUGCUUUUCUUAACCUUUAUUGUUUGUGAAAUUCAGAAAUGUGCUUCCUGCUCGUACUAGUAAAAAUAACUUGUCUUAUUUUCAAAAUGGAACACGUGUAAAAAACAGCAUGAAAUAUUUUUUUCUACUAAGGAAAGUUUGCCUUGCUUUCUUAAAAAUGAACCCACUAAUCCCUUCUAGAUAUUCAGCAUGAAUGUCAUUUAGCACAGUCUGAGAGCAGAUAAAUAAUCCCAUUCUUCUCUGUUCUCAUUUUCUUAUAUUUCACUGUAUGAAUAAAACCACUUCGUACACUGCUAUGAAAGAGACAAUAUUUAGAAGCCAUAGAGAAGACUAUCAAUUCAUGAAACUGAAUUCUGUAAAGAAAUUCACUCUGAAACAAAAGUAUAUUUUAAAUGUUUUUCAUUUUGAAUAAACUAUACUUCUGUAAAGAUGAAUUUGUUAAAUCAAAAAUUUCUCAAAAUUGUGAUAAAAGAGAAAAAACUUGAAAAAAAACCCAAAAAACUAAACCUCUUCAAUGUCCCCAUUCUCCUCCACAUAAAUCUUCUGUUUAAUAUCAAGUAUCUAAACAUAAACCUAAUUUAAACCCUUUUAAAAUAGUAUUUUCUACUGUGAUUUCUGUAUUAUUAUUAUGUGUUAUAUUUACCUGUAGAUCUUUAACUGAUCUAGAUGAUUUUGAACUUUCUACUGCUGACUAUAUUUAUUCUUUUACAUAUGAAAAUGACUUUACAUAGUACACCAUUUUAUGAAUAUGACUGUAUUUAUUUCUUCUAGUAGGCCGAUAGUCUUUAAGCCUUUUAUUGUUAUUUAUUUUAAAAUGGGUAUUCUGAUGAAUUAUGAGCAUGUGCUGAAACACUAUCUGUAGCUCAAGUUGGAAUACAGCUUUUUGUUCUGUGUACUUUACAGCACUUAAAUCUUUCUCCUUCCCGGACUCUCUGUAUUUUUUUUCAUUUUUAAAAGCCUUCUGUUUAUUGCUUCCACUAAUCUUUAGAUCUCUACUUAACCUCAUUGCCCACUGUUGCCCUUUUCUACAUUUAGAUUUAACCAGCAUGUCAAUUACAGUCUCUCCAGAAAAUUUCUGAAGCAUUUUCCAUUUUUAAUUUUAAAAACCCACCUUUUAAAAUGGUACUUGAACAAUAUCACAGCUUUCUUCAAGUACUGUGUUCAGAGAACUCUGUGUUCUUCCUGGUCCUUAGAAAACGUCAGUAGAAUUGGAGAAAAGAUGGAAUGUAAAGAUAUAUGUAUAUAUAUUUAUAUAAAAAAUAUAUAUGUAUAUAUAUUUAAAUAUCCAAAAAACCUCGUGAAAUUCAUUGAAUGUACUCGCUAUUGAUACAGUCUUGAGAGAAAGCCAAGUCACAAGUGUUAAAGGGUCUAAGUCUUACACACAAAAACUGAAGCACCUGUGAGAAGUCUGAGAGAAAUCAAGAAUGGUGUAACAGGUGUAUCUGAGAAGAUAAAAUAAAAUACAGAUGACUCCUUAAGUUCUAGAGCAGGGCUAAUAAUACCCAUCUUCCAAAGGUCACUCACUGCUGGAGUUACUGUUUUUUAUUGUUCUAAAUUAUCAUAUUCUUGGCAGUUUUUAAUGCUAUCAGCAAAUUCAUUUCUCACUUUAAUUUUAUUGUCUACAUUUAGAUAAGAUUUUCAUUUUUACCAUUUGAGAAGGUAGAAUGCAGAAACCCAUUGUAUUUUGCUGGAUUCUUUAAAGAUGAGUUCAUAAAUAUUGAAAUAACAUUCUAGACUGUCUUUUGUUUGAAGAUUUUCCAUACAUUUUUUUUCAGUUAUAAAAACAAGUUUUUCUGAAUUUGUCUUGACAAUUUUAUAAGAUUGUGUAUCAUCUAAUUGUGGCUCAGCCUUGUCCACCUUCAGUUCUAUAAGAGAGAAAUUGACAUCUUGGAGUUGUAGAGUUUUACUGCCCAUGUUCAAUUAUUUCUGUCACUUGGAUCACAAUGUGUAACUCUAAAUAAUGCCUUUCUUUCUUUAGUUAUCUUCUUUACCUUUCUAGCAGGUAUGACAAAACCACACCCUUUAUAAAUCAUAAAUAAUUUACUUCUUAUAGCAUGAAUUUUUCUUAGUUGCUACAAAUGAAAAAUAUUUUUGGUACAGGCAAUUAAUGUUCUGAUGGUGCCAGAAUAGGUGCUGGAAUUUAUUUGUUAAUGGCACUAAUUUUGUAUGUUAAAAAUAAUAUGGUUCUCAGCUCUCUGAAUGUGAGAACUUCUCAAAAGGUCAAAUCUGUGUGGUUCAACUAAAAAGAGAGGUGGAAAUUAACUUUGGAACAGGAGGACAUAGUUUAGUUCAUUGGGAGCCAAUUAGUUCUCUUCCAGAAUACAGAAAGAGUAUUGUAAGCAAAUGGUACUAUAGCUGCAUUUGAGUAAAGACACAUGGAGCUGCAUUACCCAACUCAAUUUUUAUGUUUUAAACAACCAUUUCCAUUACCCCUGUGAAACAUCACACAUGGAAGUCUCUUGAGGCUCUGUGUUUCAUUGGUGACUUUCUAGCCUACUUCCCUCAGCCUGCCUCAUUUUUUAAUUUGCACAGUACACUUGAGUUCUUUGGUUAGACAGUCAAAGAAAAGAUCUGUCAGAGGGAUUAGUAAGAAGACUUAAGGUUGUCUCAAGCAAGCUUAUGGUAAAAGGAUUUAAACAUACCAAGCAUUAGUGAAAGUGGUUGGCUAAAGAGGUGCAAACUUUCUACCUGUAGCCUGCUUUUCUGCAAGUCCCCAGUCAGUGAGCAGUUAUUCACCAGCCAUCUACAAAAUACACAGAGGUGUUCAUAUUCUUAAUGAUGUAGUCUAAAACAGUGCAAGGAGCAAAAACAAUAGAAGCAGAAAGAAAGAAUAUCUCAUACCGUCUUCCCCUACUACGGUACAUACUAUAUAAUAAAAAUGUGUCAUGGUUUUAUGAUUUCUGUUAUUGGUAUUCCACAUCAUAACAUCAUGUAGUGCACUUGGUGUUAAAGAGUUAAUGCUCCAGUUGCAUGGAUUGUCAGUAUUUUUGGGUACCUGGUUCUCACAAGAGAAGAACUACAUAAACCAGCAGACUUUUAUUGUUACAUUUCCUGUUUCCAUUUUCCAUUUAGAGGGAAAGAUAAAACUCCCUAGUCAUGAGAUUGGUUCCUUCUUUUACUGCUUGCCCCUGCAGUGUAUUCUUCCUAGCCAUCUCACCUUCAGUGCUAGAGUAAAGUCUUCAGUUUUGGACACUUUCUCAUUUAUUUGAUUUAUUAGCUUCAAUUCCAAUUAUAUUAGAUUACAUUGUGUUAUCUCACAUUCCACUGGCAUAUUUAGUGAAUUAGUUUUCUCCCUUAGCUUGUUGCCACUGUUUCGUUUUGUUUUUAGGCCCUCCUCUCUACCUUUUUCCCCUUUUUCUCUUCCCCCUAUCCUGGGGCAUGGGUCAGUGGGUCCCUCCACUGCACUAGUCAUGGAACUGGGCCAAACUGGCCCCAAACCCAUGCCAAAGUGUGAGAUUUGCAGCUUAGGGAGUCCUACUUCUGGGAAGCUUUAGUUCUGAAGUACCUUGAUCCUGCAGGUGCUUUUGCAUCCUGUCACCCACAGUCUUGCUUACUCUGAAUACAUGCUAUUGCAUACUCUAAGGCACUCUGAAGCUAAGCUUAUACAAUAUGUUUAUAAUCACAUAUUCAUUUCUAAAUGCAUUUUGAUUUCUACUCACUUCAUUGAUGUUUUACAAUAUUGAAUAAUUAUGACGAUUGGUUUUCAGUUAAAGAGCAAAAAUCUAGAGACUCAAAAUACUCAGGUGCAUGAUGAUUCUCCCAGAAAACAGCUACUCAUCUGUUUGGCUGGAGACUAUUCACAUUUUUACCAUGAAACACAUACUAUGAUAAAUAAAAUUGUAUCCUUGGAUAAUUUCUGUGUGUCAGCAAGCAGUUCUAGCCAGGGUGCCCAUGUAUGGUUUCUGACAUGGAAUGACAUGUGUUCACAACUGCCAGUCAUUCUAACUGAAAGAAGGGACAGUCUGCACACAGCAGGGUCAUGACAUCUAGCAGCCUGAGUAAACAAACUAGUGUUUCUCUCUCUCCUUCUUCCUCUUUCCAGACUGCUAAGGAGAAGUCAUAAACAUUUUACUUUUUUGGUUAUUUACUAGAACAAGAAGUCUCUGCUUUCCUUUUUUCAUCCAAGAUGGCACUAUGGAUAAUUUGUAAUUUAGAAGAUUUAGAACAUUUCACCUACUAAGUAUGAUAAAUACAAGCAACCAACAGAGGAAAAGUUACAUUUUAUUUCUUAUGGCAGAUUGUUGUAUUAUGCUUUGCUGAAAUAUAUACAAUUAAAUUGUCCAUCAACUAUUUUAUCAGCAACUCAUUAGAAGAAACUGUACAUUUAAAAUAGAGUAAUAAUGAACUUAGAUACAUUUUUUCAGCACAGCUGAGAGACUGCUUUCCAGUGCUGCCAUAUAAGGUAAUCAGGAAACACUGGACCCUGGUUCUGCUUAUUCAAGUGUAACCAAGAUUUGGAGUUUCCAAGUCCACUUUAAAAACCUUUAACUACUUAAAGCAUUGGAAUAAAGCUGACCACAAAGAUGGAAAAGAGAUGGAAGAGUGAGAAGAAGGAAAAAGAAGUUUUGAAGCAGAGACCAGAAAAAGAAAGACUGCGAAUGAUUUUGAAGCUCAUACAAGAUGUAGAAUGCCAAUCUCUUCUCUGUGUUCUAGAGGAGCUUUAAACAGCAAGCAAUAGAGUUGGCCAACUGAAGCACAUUAUUCAGCUGUGUUCUCUUUGGAGAUAACUGGUAAUUCUGAAAGGGAGAUGAGGGAGGAAGAAAGAAAGAAAGCUAUAACUUCUUGGUUUGUAAAUCUGCUGGUGAUAUAGUGAACUUAGAUUAAUUUCACAGCUCAAUCUUGAUAGUUAAAGUUGUGUUUUGUGUUUGAUCAUCCUAGGCCUGAGAACAUCCCUGUUAACCUUGUUGCAGCUCUCAACAAUGUAAAAAAAACUUCCUACCAAAUUAUAUUUUUAAUACACCUUAUGAUUUGGUAUAGAUAUGAAGGUAGAUGAAGAGGACAUAAAGAGAUACGUAGAAAAAGACCCAUAGUCCUUAAAAGGAGUUUUGCUCACUUCUGUAAAGGGACUGCAACAGUCCUUGUAGUAUUUUUUUUUGCAGGUGCUAUAAGAAUUACUCUGAAUGGCAGAAGAUGAACUUUGGCAGAAAAUACAGCGGAAACUUCAGCAGCUUAGGCAUGGUUAUAUACAGGUCUCAAUUGCUUUUAACUGAAGUCUUGUUUUGUUGUCUACAAAGGUUGUCUUGCUUUCAGAAAAGUAUGAGCUAUGUUUCAAUGAGACAGAAUUCUGAAAAAAAAAAAAAAAGUUUGAUGUUAUUUACAUUCACUGUAACUAAUCUGAAUCACUGAUUCUGGUUGGGACUGACAUCCCUGUCUAAGUCCCAAACCUAGUAUGAUUUUGUAUGUAGAGCCAGUUUAAAGUCACAGGCUCAGCUAGGUCUAGCUAGAACUGAUGAAGGAUAGAAGAUACAGAUUAAACAUUUUUCUCUAUUGUGAGACUAUAAAUAAAAAAUUGAAUGUGACCUUAUAACCAAAUGAUUUAUUCAUUGCUAUAUUAUUGAUAUCAAUGUGAAAUGUGUUGCUUUGCUGAGAAAGGGAAGGAUUUUGUGAGGAUACUGAAUGGUUGUUUUUUUUUUAGUGUCCUUAAAGUACAAACUGAUGGGGUCUGCUUCCUCUGUAGAAAUGGUAGUUUUCACUCAAAAGAAUAAAUGCUGUCACUUUAUGCUUCACAACUCUAGAAUGUUUCAGUUGUAGUGAAAACCCAGGAGUUUCUUGGCUUUUUGCUUUUAGUGGAGGACACAUUACUCUGUGAGAGACUUUACUUGGACAAAAUAACAUAGAAAAUGUUAACUUAGAAAAUAGACCAAAUAAUCUGCCACAGCUGUAGUUGUUUUUGUUUUGUUUUGUUUUUUACAAAUCAGCAAUGAACAAUUUGAUCUAAUUCAGAAAUAAUCAAAGGCUGCAUAAAUAUUUGGCUGCUACAAGUUUAAAAUAGUACCACGAUAAAAUUUCACGUACACAUGUCUUCUAAGAACAUAUUUCUUGUAAAUUUCACUGCACUGAAUAAUAACUUGAAUUAUUUUUAUCAGUACAAAAGUAAGUCUCCCUACACUACUCUAUUUUUUAUUAACAAUCACUUUUUAAUCUGUAUAUACUAUAUACAGCUAGUAGCUCUUUCAUUUUUGUACUUUCAAUCUGCUUCACAGGGUAUUAAUUAUGCACAAGUUGGCUACAUCUCUUCUGUCAUACCGAACAGCCACAUCUGCAUUUAAUCAUUCAUUAUAUGCUGUAAUCUACCACCUAACUUCCAGUCACUUUUACUAUCUAAAAGCAAGUAGGAGGUACUUAAGAAUCUAUCCCUGAAUAUCUAAUUGCAUACUUAACUGAUUAGUUUUAUAUGACAGUCUCUUAUAAACAUGCUAAUAAGUUGAAGACUCUUAAUUUGUAUCUACAUGCUACUGAUUUCUGUAUGAUUAUACAUAAUGAACUCAUCAUGAUCACACUUAGUGCUGCUCUUCUGAGAAUCAUGAAAAUAAAUGCAGAGUUUGGAGAGAAGGAUGUAGACAAAGGCAGAAAUGAUCAGUAAUAUGUUGCUUUGUAAGAGAUUUGAUGAGAAACUUCAUUCAGGUUUGCUUUGAGAAAUGGCUUAUUCCAAAUAGUUCAAGAGGAAAUAAAAGGACCAUGAAAACCUGGACAAUGAGGUAAACAAAAGUGAAAAGAAUUCACACAGAUGCUGUUUUACACCUAGCUCAACUAAUAACACCCAUCAUGCUCAGAGAUACAGGAAAAAGUGAAUCCAUGCCAAAUAAACCACCUCAGGUGUCAGUACUGGUGACUUCUAGUUACUUCCAAGCAUCUCAGUUAUUCACAGAACAGAGGCAAUGGGAGAGGUCCAAAGGAACUCUGUAUUGCCAUGUCACUGCUUUUCUGAGUAUUUCAAUACCUCCAUUAAAGUAAUGCCAUUACUAUGACCAAUUCACAAGCUUGAUUGAAAUUUCUUUAACAAUGUACAAUGUUGCAGACAGGAUGAGGUUAUCCAUUCCACCUCUGCUUUUUCUAGGGCAAUAGCUGAGAAAGGGAGUUUUAAAGGUAAACAGAAAUCUGAGGUAAUUCCUAAAGAAAAUGAACACUUACUAACUUUAAAGUAGUUAUUGUUAUACAAAGUGAGUUUUUGGGGUUAGCACAAAAGAAGAACAGCAUUUAAGGUCAAUAAAGGUGCAAUACUUUCCAUUGUUCACUGCAUUUCUACAUAAGUCUUAGAAACAGCACAAUCUGUAGCUCUCUUAUACAUAUAGGUAGCCUCUGGAGCUAUAUCACGGUUGUCCGUGAUUUUUCACUUGUUAUUAAAGGGCAUGAAUUCUUCCAAAGGGCAAGGCUAGUGCAUUUACUCAGACACCUACGCAAAUUGUCCCAGGAUCCUAAUUUGAUGUACCUCAGUGGAAAGUGAUUAGGGUCAGAGGACUUAAGCUGUAUUCUAACACAUAUUAGAUUUAAAUAAUCCUGUCUCAUCUCUUCUGGCUCCUAACCAGUUUAUUUUAACACUAAGUGAGUUUGUUUGUAAAGUCUAAAUGAAUUUUAACAGCUUCUAGUGACAUUUUACUAGAAAACAGAAAAACUGUAGCAAUUCAGGUUCCAAAGUGUAUCAGCGUUCAAUUUUUGAGGGUUUCUCAGUAGACUGAACUUUCCAGAGAUCCUUAUCAUUCAUAUAAAAUAGAUUGGGAUAAUAUCCUCAGAGUUAAUCUAUUUAAAAUGAAUAGUGAUCUUAGAUCCUUUCGGCAUUGGAUUUGUUAAGAAGAAAGUGAUAUUACUGCAGAGUUAGUCCCACUUCCAAGGCCAUGCAAUGGCUUUUCUCAAGCAAUUAAGAAGCUGUACAACUUCUACCUUUAAGAUAACUGUGGAAGAUAUAAUCUUUUAAGAUUAGACUACUCUACUGAUAGAAUUUAUCUUCUUUUCUCUCAUUAAAUAUUUUAAGAUUCUAAUUAACAGACCCUAUUCAAGAAUUUCUGAGAUGAAUGAAGGCAUAUUCAUAUUUUCUGAGAGCACUUUAUUCAGUCUUAUUUUAAAAGCCUAAAUUACAUAUAAGGUAUAUAUGUGUUUUUAAAUACAUUAGUCAGAAGGAAAUGAGUAAUAAUGCUGCACUGUAUUGUGCUGAUCUGUCCAGGCAUAGAAGAGGAUAAGUUGCUAUAUUUAUUGAUGCAAAACUUGUGGAUAACCUUGGUAAACCUUGCAUUUCCUCUGCAAUAGCUACAAAUGGUGGUUAAUGUUAAGCGAGAAAUUUGCAGAAAGCUUAUUAAAAACACAGCCUGUUUCUGCAGACUUUGUUUCGCUUUGACAUUUUAACCACAGUUUACCAGGAUGUGUCAAAACUUCUUGACUAGUCAUAGCAAUCUCCUCAGAAAAUAUGAGGAAAAGGUUUCUGUGCUCUUUCUUUCUUUCCUCCUUCUUUCUCUAUCCAUAAAUAUUUCAUAGAAUCAUACAGUUUUUUGAGUUGGAAGGGACCCUUAAAAGUCAACGAGUCCAACUCCCCUGUAAUUAAUAGGGACAUCCACAGCUAGAUCAGAUUUCUUAGAGUUUGUUCCAGCCUGAUCUUAAAUGUUUCUAGGGACUGGGAGUCCACCACCUCUCUGGGCAACCUGUUCCAAUGCUUCACUGCUGUUAUCAUUAAAAAAAACUUUGUUCUUAUACCCAAUCUAAAUCUCCUCUCUUUUAGUUUGAAACUAUUUCCCCUUGUCCUAUUAGAAAAGACCCUACUAAAGAGUCUGUCUCCUUCCUUCUCAUAGCUCCUUUUAAACACUGAAAGGUCACUAUCACGUUUCCCUGGAGCCUUCUGUUCUCCAAGCUGGACAGUCCCAGCUCUCUCAGCCUGUCCUCUUAAGGGAGUUGUUCCACCCCUUGGAUCUUUUUUAUGGCCCUCCUCUGGAUGCUUUCUGACAGAUCCACACCUCUCCUGUACUGAGGACUUCACAUCUGUCAUUGCUGCAGAGACCAGCUUUAGAGCAGGGUGGGCUUGCAUUUAUAGCCCAGUAGGCCAACUGUAUCCUAGGCUACAUCAAGAGAGGGGUGGCCAGCAAGGCAUGGGAGGUGAUUGUUGUCCUCUACUCUGCCCUCAUGAGGCCCCAUCUGGAGUACAGAAUCCAGAUCUGGGGCCCCCAGCACAAGUGGAGCAAUUGGAGGGGGUCCGGAGGAAGUCCAUGAAGAUGAUUAGAAGGCUGGAGCAUCUCUCCAAUGAAGAAGGAGGUGUUCAAGGCCAGGUUGGAUGGAUCCUGAGCAAUCUAAUCCAGUGCUUGAUUUAGAGGUUGGCAACAUUGCCCCAUGGCAAGAAGAUUGGAACUAGACGAUCCUUAAGGUCCCUUCUAACUCAAGCCAUUCUGUGAUUCUGUGUUUCAAUGAUUCUAUGAUAGAUGUAUGUGGAAACAGGGAAGUCUUGAGUUUUAAGGGUACAAAUGAUUUAGAUUUCCAUGGAAGGAAUUUUGCCUUCCAGAGUUCAUUCUGGGAUUUAAUUCUGUUUUAAAAUCAUUUGACCAAUGCUAGCGUGCUUCCAUAAUACUCACUGAUGGGUAUUGUUUCACUUAUAUGCAUUUUACUUCAGGGAACAUUGUGAAAAUAUUUCACUUCUUAUGUCUGCAAAAAUAUGGAUUAGAAUUGCUCAAUCCAAAAAAAAGAACAAGCAAAUAAUGUCAAGUUCACAAAAUUAAAGGCAAUUAUAGACUAUUUUAUAUACAUUUAAAAAAUAAAGCAAUAAAUGGCCAGUUUUGAACAUUCUCAGUGAUCACUAGAGAUUAGCUGUUAUGUUUUAUAUUCUCUGUUAUCUUUCAAGCAGAAAACCAAAUUUCUAGCCUGUUUCUUUAAAAUUCCUAGGUUUUGUAUGUGUGGUGCUCAUUCAAUUAUUUUAUAUAUUUAUUUUGCUUGUUUGAUGGCUUUGCAUUUGGAAGGCUGCCUGAGGAGAGAUGCCUGAAGGAAAAGAGGAAAUCCAGACAACUAUAAAAAUAUCCUACAUGUUUUCACAGCAAAAAAUGCAUGGGCACAAUGGCAGAUCUCUCCCAUGUUAACGCUGCAGCUGCAUAUAACAGAGGAGACUGCAUCACUAUCACCCUGGUGUGACAUUUUUGUGAGAUGCAGUUAGUACAAUGCUGUGACAUUUACAGUGUUGUGCACUGCAUUUAGUGGCAGAUCUGCUAACAACAGCAGAUCUAUUCCUGGCCACAUAGAGUGGAAUGCUGCCUACUCACUCUCUCCUCUCUGCAUUGGUUUCCUGCCCUAAUGUACGUUACAUUUAGAACUUUGAUGUUAACUGAAGGCCAGCCAAAAAAGGACUUGGAAUCUGAAUGCUUUCAUAUUUCUGGAUAUGGGGUGGUUUUGAAUUUCCAGAUUAGUAGUAACUCAUCUGAUGUUAGUGUUGAGUUGUUUCCAGAACCAUAUGGGACCUAAUUUCUAAUGCAGCCAAGAACUUAAAGCCAAUCUGAAGAAACGUGGGACAAGCUGACAAAAAAAAAAGUAUCACAGGCAGAAUAACAGUGAAAGAUUUACAUCAGUUUCCCCCUCAUAAACUUUAGUCAUUUGCCUUGAAGUUACUCAGAAGUUACACCGAUGUCUAUUAUUUUCUUAUUCAGUGGUACAAAUGUUCAUACUCAUCUCAUCUGUGUAAAUAUACAUCCGUGUAAAUAUGAAAGUGAUUAGAUCAAAGAAAACUCUCUUUUUCAUUUUCCUGAAGUAACUAAUUUUAUCAGCUAAGCAUUAAGUGUACUUUUUAAAAUGAUCGUUCAUGCUUUCGCUGAUAAACAGGAGAUAACUAACUGCAUGUCCCAGGCAACUACUUUAUUGAAGUGAGAUGAAUGAUCUUCUGAAGGCUCCCUUCUUCAUGAGCUGCAGUGAUCCUAGACAGUUAUUCUAGACAUUUGGUGUUUAGACAUCUCAGUGUUUUCACACAACUCUGUGUUCCUACCCUUUGUGUAACUUUUAUAUGCAAAAACCAUUGAGCAAUGUAAAAUAUGACCCCCAUUUUAGAACAAUCCCAAGAGAAUUUUUUUUUUAAAUAAAUUUCAUCUACCUGGAAAUGUUAGGACAAAAGUAAGAUUUUCAUGGUUUUCCAUUACUCCCUGUAAAAGCAGAGAAAAAAAGUCUGUUAGAUCUACGAAUAAAAGGAAAUUGGCUGAAAAGAGCUAAUUCAUAAUGAAACUAACUUGUCAGACUAUUUUCAUAGCACUAUCUGUACAAAGAUUAAAAAAAAAAAACACCUCUCAUAAAAUAUUAAUGCUUUAACCUUUAAGUUAUUAGCCCUUAUAAAUUUAAACUACUGCUUACAUUGUAGAGAUGGAAAAGUUUAAGCUAACAGGAAGAGAUGAAAACAGGGCUUUAUCUUCUCUCUCCUAUGGCUGGGUUUUUAAUAUGUUAUCAUUCUUCUCUCUCUCUAAAUCAGUAAAUUAAGUGAUGUUAAUCAUCUCAAAAGCAGAUACACUUCUAGUACAUGUGUAACACACACUAAAGACACAUUUGAGCCUCCCUCACAAGAGAAAGGAUUGAUCAAAUAUAGCUCUUCAGUGCGAGGAGGCACUGGGACAUCAUUUUUUCCCAGUACCUUUCCCAAAACAGUAGCAUAAAAAACAUCUCUAAAAUGCCUGUAGUAGAAAUCAGUAUAGCCAGUAGGAUCUCAACACAACAGAUGAAACUGAAGUGCAUAAAUAGUGAAUUGCACUGCAGCCAGCUUUUUAGUUUGUGGGAGCUUCAAUUACCACAUUCUCCCCUUUACAAGGCAUGAGGAUGCAACACAUUUGUGGCAGGGUAAUGUGAGCACUCCCUGCAUCCACAUCACAGGCUGAACCCAUCACCACUCACAAAGAGCACAUGCAGCUGGGGUAAAUUCAGCCUGGACAUUUCAGUCGUCUUUGGCACCGAGGAAUGGGAAUUUUUUAAUGUAUGUUAUUCUUCUGAGGAAUGUAAAAUAUUUUCACUUGGGACUUUUAAAUCCUCAAAUGUACACUCUGUGAACUGUUGACAUGAUGUUUUCAGGUCAAUAUUUCAACCAGAUUCCAAGAAUCCAAGAAUCAGCAGCUGCUAUUGUAAUUUUCCUAUGGGCUUCUAUUAAGUUGUUUCAAAAUUUGUGUUAAAAAUCAUGCUGGGAUAGAUCUGGAAAGGUGAAACAAGCAAGCAAAAAACUUUUGAAAAUUAUAUUUGCUCUGCAAAAAUGAUUACCCAUUUGCACAUUAAUAUGCACUAUUUUGUAUGUAUGUGUAAGAGAUUAUUCUUUUAUAUCAUUGACUCAAAGUUUGCUGAGGAACAAGUCCAGGCAAGUCCUGGGCAAAGGCAGAGAAAUCUUUUGUCUUGAGGACACUGAUGGACAGGUCCUGGCUAAGGAUUGUGAAAUCCUCUAAGGAGCACAGAUGGACAAGGCCAGGGGCAUCGAGAGAGAGAUAAGCUGCUGCUAAUGGCCGGGAAACGGUCUUUUUGUGUGGACUUAUCUCAAGGAAAAUGGCCAUCUCAGGAGGUAUGCACAGGACUCUUGCUCAAGCACCCAGGAAUGUCACGUAGGCAGCAGAAAAUGGAGGAUAAAAGAGGGUCCAACAACCACGGCUAGGUGGAGGCUGAUCUCUCACCACGACACGAGCUUUCUGCCUUCAGAUCCUUCUCUACGGACCGUUUGCUGACGGACUUCCCUGGGCCUGCUACCUGAGACCUGCUGCUUCCUCCCUGACCUGCACUCUCUCGUUGCCCAAGACCGGCCUCGCUGCUCCUGCCCUUCGGCGUCGGAACCUCGUGCUACGGGACUGCUGCCGGAUCCUGGUGUAUUAUUAACUAGCAUCAAAGAAAACAUGG
rnacentral:lncRNA from 1 species